rnacentral:rRNA from 1 species
CACGUAGGACGCAAGCGUUAUCCGGAAUUACUGGGCGUAAAGAGCGUGUAGGCGGUGCUGUAAGUCAACCGUGAAAGCUCCCGGCUAAACUGGGAGAGGUCGGAUGAGACUGCAGCGCUAGUGGGUCGUAGAGGAAUGUGGAAUUCCGGGUGUAGUGGUGAAAUGCGUAGAGAUCCGGAGGAACACCAGAGGCGAAGGCGACAUCCUGGACCGGCAUUGACGCUGAGGCGCGAAAGCUAGGGGAGCAAACGGG